rnacentral:rRNA from 1 species
GGAAAGAUGAAAAGAACUUUGAAAAGAGAGUUAAACAGUUCGUGAAAUUGUUGAAAGGGAAACGAUUGAAGUCAGUCGUGCUGGCGCGAAAUCAACCCUCUCGUCGAGAGGACACAUGGCGUGGCGAGCCUCAAAACCGUCACGAAGCGUGAACUCUUGGCGAAAAGGAGCACUUUCGUGUCCGCUGGUUAACAUCAAUUUCGAACGUCAUAAAAAGGCUGGAGGGAUGUGGCUCCUUCGGGAGUGUUAUAACCUUUAGCGGAAUGUGGUGGUCGGGAUUGAGGAUUGCAACGAAUACCUUUAGGGCUGUUCCACCUGGCUUCUCUUUGGUAUCCUGGUGACGACAGCUUGCUGACGUUGUUAGGAUUCGCCUUUGAACAGGCUAGAGUGUGAGCAAAUUCGUUAAGGAUGUUAACGUAAUGGCUUUAAACGACCCGUCUUGAAACACGGACCA